rnacentral:misc_RNA from 1 species
AUUUGUUUGCAAACCAUUCAUCAGUACAAUCCUCCUCAAAAGAGUAAUAACAUUAAUCAGACUACAAAUCAUUAAAGUGGCCUAUAAAACUUAAUUCAUGACUCGUAGUAUCAAAGAACCAUCUAGGCAGCUGAAGUAGAAAUCCUAGCAUCACGAGUACAUCUAUAGGCACUGCAUAAGUAAAAAUUUCAAGAAGAAUAUUACACUUCCAUGACUUCAUAUGAAAAUUUGUGGAAGUUGAUAAAGAAGUAAACUCACUGCAAAUCGUUGACACGGCGU